rnacentral:rRNA from 1 species
CCUACGGGAGACUGCAGUGGGGAAUAUUGCGCAAUGGGCGAAAGCCUGACGCAGCGACGCCGCGUGAGGGAUGAAGGUCUUCGGAUCGUAAACCUCUGUCAGCAGGGCAGAACGGUCACUGUGCUAAUCAGCAGUGAAUUGACGGUACCUGCAAAGGAAGCACCGGCUAACUCCGUGCCAGCCGCCGCGGUAAUACGGAGGGUGCGAGCGUUAAUCGGAAUUACUGGGCGUAAAGCGCUCGUAGGCGGUAUGUCAAGUCAAGGGUGAAAUCCCCGCGCUCAACGUGGGAACUGCCUUUGAAACUGGCAAACUGGAGUGUGUGAGAGGAUAGUGGAAUUCCAGGUGUAGGAGUGAAAUCCGUAGAUAUCUGGAGGAACAUCAGUGGCGAAGGCGACUAUCUGGCACAUAACUGACGCUGAGGAGCGAAAGCGUGGGUAGCAAACAGGAUUAGAUACCCGUGUAGUC